rnacentral:rRNA from 1 species
UACGGAGGGGGCUAGCGUUGUUCGGAAUUACUGGGCGUAAAGCGCACGUAGGCGGCUUUGCAAGUCAGAGGUGAAAGCCCGGGGCUCAACCCCGGAAUAGCCUUUGAGACUGCAUCGCUAGAAUUGUGGAGAGGUAAGUGGAAUUCCGAGUGUAGAGGUGAAAUUCGUAGAUAUUCGGAAGAACACCAGUGGCGAAGGCGACUUACUGGACACAUAUUGACGCUGAGGUGCGAAAGCGUGGGGAGCAAAGCAGG